CUCAACGUCAUAAGGAAUCAGACGGAUGCGGAAACCGAGACGGGCUGGAUGGGAAACUCUUUCCAGGAAGGCUCCGGGGCCCUCAGCUGGUCUCCGACCUUCCCCUGCAACCUGUGACACCUGCCAUUUUCCCAUCUUAGGCGAUGGCAACGCCACCCUUCCGUUUGCUCCGGGCAAAACUUCGAGAGUUCCCUCUGACUCUGGAGUUUUUUCCUCAGAUCCAAGAGCCAACUGGUCAUCAAUUCGUAAUUUCCCAUCGGCUAAGUGCGUGGGCAUUGAGCUACACGCGAGUCUCUCCACCUCUGCGGAAUGGCUACUUCGGGGUAGGGGAGGGGCCCUCCCGUGGAUUGUAAGGUGUUUAGCAGCAGCCGUCGCCUCCGCUGACUAGAUACAUGCCAGGGGGUUAGCAUUCUCCCUCCCCGCUUCCCCCAUUCGUGACCUAGUGUCCCAGCGUGGAGGUGAGAGGCGUGUAAGGGCAAAGUUGCCCCCUCUUGAGAACCACUGAUGCGCGUUGUCCUGCUGUCUGAGCUUGUGCAGAGGACUCUCCAGAUGAAGGCUCAGGGGUCGAUCCAGCUUGAGACCCCCUCGCUCCCCCGCACAGUCAGACCUUAGGAUUGGAGGCUUUUAACAUCUCUACAUCAUGAGAUUCGAAACCUUUAGGUCUUUUCUUCCGUUCUGUCCUCCAAAUCGGCCUCUUCCGAGCCUGUUGACCAGGGCCAGCCAGGCAGACGGCUGGGUUCGCUCAACGAGGCUCCUCUCGGCCCUCCUGGAGCUUCAGGCCUCUUUCGGUUGCAGAGAAACUUUAUGGGCCACUUCCUUCGGCAUCCCCGGGGGCAGGUGCGCGGUGCCCGGGGAAGAAGAGGGUUUGACUGCGGUUCUCGACCCCCGGCGACCAACCUCCACCCCGGUGGGCGCGCUUUUCCAGGCUCCUGCUGGUCCCACUGGCCGGGAGUUAGGUCUCGGGUCAGCCUGAGCUCCAGAGAUGCCCAGGCCCGGAAGGACACUUAGGGGAAACCAGCUGCUCACUUUGGUCUUGUCCGCAACGGACCUCUUGCUGCCAGGAAAGAAAGGCGUCGAGUCCUGUCCUGUUGGGUAGGCGGAAGAGAGAUCAAAGGGAAGACAAGAAAAAUCCUGGGAGGUUUCAGGAUCUAAAGUUACCAUGAAGUCGACCUAACCUCCUCUGGAGGUCCUCCCAGUCCUCCCGUGGCUGGCGAUGGUGAAUCGAGUUUCCGUCUCCAGUUUGCCAAGGCGGACAAAGCCGACACAAUGGGCCUGUCCACUAUCUUCUUUCAUAUACACAAAAUGUCAGCUUUUCCUGUUUCUAACUGGCAACAUCCCGCCUGAUGACCAGCUUAGCAAAUUAGAGACUCUCCAUGGGAUUCCAUCUGUGUCUUAGUUCGGGCUUCUCUAACACCGUACCAUACAUAAACUGGGUGGCUGAUUCACAACAGAAAUUGAUUUCUCACAGUUCCGGAGGUUGGAAGUCCGAGAUCAAGGUGCCGACAUGGUAGGUUUAUGGUGAGGGCCUUUUGUUCUGGUUGUAGACUGCCACCUCCUCAUUGUAUCCUCAGGGGGCAGAAAGAGGGCGAGAGAGCUCCCCGAGGUCCCUUUUAUAAGGGCAUUAGUCCCAUUCAGACUAAUGGGACUAAAUCCAGACUCUGUGCUGAGUGUUGUGGAUUUUUUGCAUGUUCAUCCUCCCCGCAGGCAACUGGAGAUGUAUUGUCCCCAGAGGGUACAAUAGAGAAUCUUCCGUCACAAGUCAGCAACCAGCAUAUGUGAGUGACAGCAUGUGUUCCACUCAGAAAUGAGAGUGUAUUAGUCCGUUUUCACGCCGCUGACAAAUACAUAACAUAGUCCAGGACGAAAAAGAGGUUUAAUUGGACUUACAUUUCCAUAUGACUGGGGAGGCCUCAGAAUCAUGGCGGGAGGCAAAAGGCACUUCUUACAAGGCAGCAGCAAGAGAAAAUGAGGAAGAAGCCAAAGCAGAAACCCCUGAUAAACCCAGCAGAUAGUGAGACUUAUUCACUGUCAGGAGAAUAGCACAGGAAAGACCCACCCCCAUGAUUCAAUUACCUCCUCCUAGGUCCCUCCCACAACACAUGGGAAUUCUGGGAGAUACAAUUCAAGUUGAGAUUUGGGUGAGGGCACGGCCAAACCAUGUCAGAAAGGGAUGAAGUGACAGCAUAUCCUGAUGUGUGUGAUGGUUUUAUGAGUUAUUACCUAUUUCAAAAAUUAUUGCAAUGUGUAAAAAAGAACAAGGACUUGUACUAUCUGACUUUAAGGCUUACUAUAAGCUAUUACAGACAAGGCAUCAGGAGUGACAAAUAGAUAAACAGACUGAGUUAAGAGACUUGAAACUGAUCCACAGCUAUACGGUCAAUAAAUGGGUUUUCAAUAAAAGCAGUUCAAUAAAAG
rnacentral:lncRNA from 1 species